rfam:Gossypium arboreum cultivar AKA8401 contig_263_1, whole genome shotgun sequence.
UGUUAAAAAUUUUAUCUAUUUGUAUUGUUAAAAACUGAUAUAGUUAAUGCAAUAACUCGACAACGGCACCCACGUAUACUUCUCAUUGACUCACAAUAACCAAUCUUUAAUAAUAAAAAUGGAUGAAAUUUUUAACA